rnacentral:tRNA from 1 species
GGUCCCGUAGCUCAGCUGGAUAGAGUACUCGCCUCCGAAGCGAGGGGUCACAGGUUCAAAUCCUGUCGGGACCA